rnacentral:rRNA from 1 species
UACGACUACAUAUCAGGCAUAUCAAUAAGCGGAGGAAAAGAAACUAACAAGGAUUCCCUUAGUAACGGCGAGUGAAGCGGGAAGGGCUCAAAUUUGAAAUCUUAAAGGGUUUCCCUUUACGAAUUGUAGUUUAAAGAAGUGUUUUCUGUUGGAGUUUCGGUAAAAGUUCUUUGGAAUAGGACAUCAUAGAGGGUGAGAAUCCCGUAUUUGACCGUUACUUUCCAGCUGUGUGAUACACUUUCAAAGAGUCGGAUUGUUUGGGAAUGCAGUCCAAGAUGGGUGGUAAAUUUCAUCUAAAGCUAAAUAUUGGCGAGAGACCGAUAGCGAACAAGUACCGUGAGGGAAAGAUGAAAAGAACUUUGAAAAGAGAGUUAAACAGUACGUGAAAUUGUCAAAAGGGAAGCGUUUGACACCAGUGUUGUUUUCCCAAAAAUCAAUUACGAAUGGCUUGAUUUUGUGUUGUAUUGACCUUAUCAGCUUUCUUCACUUUUUUCGAGUCUUUCUUAAUGCACUUUUCGGUUAACAAGUCGACAUCAAUUUCUUUUGUUGUAAAAGAGUAUUCGGAAGGUGGCUUUCUUUUCGGAGAAAGUGUUUAUAGCCCUAUACUUCUACAAUCGGAGAGAUUGAGGUCUGCAGCGUAGAUCCUUCGGGGUUAGAUACACUUGUGCUAAGUUGUAGCUUUUCAUAGACAACUUGUUGACUAUGUUUAGUCAUGCGGCUUACUCGCUUGUGCUAUUUUACCUACGCUUAGGAUGUUGAGUAGCGACAUACGCA